AUUGCCCCCACAGGCGUUGCAGGCUGGCAUGAUGUGCCAUGCUUGUGUCAUUGGGUGGCAGAGAUUAACCUGGCUGUGUCUACGCUCGGUGCCCUUCUCCCAGUGGGCAUUUACAGAUGAUUAGCAGCCAGACAGG